rnacentral:rRNA from 1 species
GAUUAUGGCUCAGAACGAACGCUGGCGGCGCGUUUAAGCAUGCAAGUCGAGCGGCAAGGGCCUUCGGGCCCCUAGAGCGGCGGACGGGUGAGUAACACGUGGACAAUCUGCCCCCGGCCCGGGAUAGCCCAGGGAAACCUGGAUUAAUACCGGAUGAGACGGGACCCGCGAUGGCGGGACCCGGGAAAGGCGCUGCGGCGCCGCCGGGGGAUGAGUCUGCGUCCCAUUAGCUAGACGGCGGGGUAACGGCCCACCGUGGCGACGAUGGGUAGCCGGCCUGAGAGGGUGGACGGCCACAUUGGAACUGAGACACGGUCCAGACUCCUACGGGAGGCAGCAGCUAAGAAUCUUCCGCAAUGGGCGAAAGCCUGACGGCGCGACGCCGCCGUGAACGAAGAAGGCCGUGAGGUUGUAAAGUUCUUUUCGGGAGGGGGAACAACCGUGGCAGGGAAUGGCCGCGGGAUGACGUGAAUCCCGGAAUAAGCCCCGGCUAACUACGUGCCAGCAGCUGC